rnacentral:tRNA from 1 species
GCUGGCAUAGCUCAAUCGCAGAGCACCCGCCUUGUAAGCGGAAGGUUGGGGGUUCAAUUCCCUCUGCCAGCA